rnacentral:rRNA from 1 species
CGGGCUUGAACUGCACAGGACAGUUAGCAGAGACGCUAUCUUUCUUCGGAUCUGUGUAGAGGUGCUGCAUGGUUGUCGUCAGCUCGUGCCGUGAGGUGUCGGCUUAAGUGCCAUAACGAGCGCAACCCUUUUCCUUGUUUGCCAUCAGGUAAUGCUGGGCACUCCAGGGAUACUGCCAUCGUAAGAUGUGAGGAAGGUGGGGAUGACGUCAAAUCAGCACGGCCCUUACGUCCGGGGCUACACACGUGUUACAAUGGGCGGUACAGAGAGUAGCUACCUGGCGACAGGAUGCCAAUCUUAAAAACCGUUCUCAGUUCGGACUGGAGUCUGCAACCCGACUCCACGAAGCUGGAUUCGCUAGUAAUCGCGCAUCAGCCAUGGCGCGGUGAAUACGUUCCCGGGCC